ACCUUCAAGGAGCGCUGCAAGGAAUGCUGAGAACCAGUAUUGCCUCAGGCUUGAGGGGAGUAAAUUUUGGGCACACCCCAAUUUGCUAAUUGCAACUGCGCUCGCUAACC
rnacentral:ncRNA from 2 species